CAGUAACUAAUUAUAUAAACAAUAAUACAACAUAAAAGGCGAUAAUUGCAGAAAGAACGAUCUUCACCAGUGGGCGGCGCUCUCGUCACAGCAAAGGGCGGGGCCUGUGUUAAUGGAGGCGGGGUCUAUCGUGAGUGGGCGUGUCUUCAUUGUGUGUCAUGUCUGCUUGUGUUUCUUCUUCUUCUUCUGCUGUGUUCUGUGGCGCCACGUUGAUCGAGCGAUCAUCAUCAGACCGCAGAUUACAGUGGUGUGGUGCAGACGUCAUCAUCAGACCGGUUUAUAUCACAAGUCAAGCGCUCCGCAUCGGAUCGGGUCAGGCAGACGCACGCGGCGCUGGUGGCACCGAGUCCUCAUGUAAGUAGCCCAUCCUCCACCGCUGCUUUCUUUAUCCU
rnacentral:lncRNA from 1 species